ensembl:lncRNA
ACCUCCAGGCCCAUAACCGGCACCACCAGCACCAACUCCUCCACCAGGUCCAAAACCGGUGCCAGCUCCACCAGGUCCAAAACCGGUGCCAGCUCCACCAGGGCCGACUCCUCCACCAGGUCCAAAGCCGGUACCAGCACCACCAGGGCCGACUCCUCCACCAGGUCCAAAGCCGGUACCAGCGCCACCUGGGCCAACUCCUCCACCAGGUCCAAAGCCGGUACCAGCGCCACCAGGACCAACUCCUUGACCAGGUCCAAAGCCGGUACCAGUGCCACCAGGCCCAACUCCACCACCAGGACCAAUACUGGAACCAGCUCCACCGGGGCCAACUCCUCCCCCAGGCCCAAAGCCAGUUCC